AAUAUUCGAGAACGGAGGUAGUAUUAUUUUCUACAUCUUCUCCCUCUACUCAUUGACGCUCUUAAUUCUGAAUAGUUCAUCUGCAAACUUUGAGUUCUGCUAUAUAAUUACCAUAGUGUAAUGCAAGUCUCCCUUCUUGAAUUUUGUAAUUUGAAGUGAAUAGCCUGUUUAUCUAGCCUGUAGUGUACAAACUUAUUUGAUGCAUUUUUUCGGGCAGUGAAAAAAAUGCAUCAAUGUUGACUCUAGAUGGAGUUGACGUCAUGGGGGAACGCUUAGCAAAUGAGGUAAGUAAUGCAGACAACUAAUUCAAGAACUAGCUAUUGGUCCAUAGUAAUUUGUAAUAAAAUUUUAUUCUUUAUCAAACUGUUCUCUGGCACAGUUCCUAUUGUCUGAACAAUCAGUCUAGAUGCUAACUUGCAUUCUCCUCUUACUCAGGUGCUCUUUAUCAAGCUGAAUGUUGCACUCAGCUUGCAUUGAUGGUAAGCUUACAGAAAAUGCACUUUGUUCAUAUUUGUGCAGAACACUGAGCAGGUCGUAUCCAAUCAGACCACCUUGGCACCUUCACAUGUUAUCAAAAUACUUUUUAUCUCCCUCCAUUUCUUUGGGUUUAACAAACCAUUUUAGGGAUUUGGAAGAUCGAACGAAGAAUUUAGACCUAAUAUUGUUGAAGAGAUACAAUUUUCAAAAGAAGUUGCUUGUGGAGG
rnacentral:lncRNA from 1 species